UCGCAUAUGAGCAGAGAUUACACUAUGAAGCAGGAGUCGUCUGCUCUCCCCAGAGGCUUGGUUUCUCAAUGGUACAUGUAGAGGAGGAUGAAUUAGAUGCCCAGGAGUCUUGGUUGGCCCCCGGUUUCUUCACAGUUCAGUGUUAAUGGAAGCUCAAAUGGUGAGCCCAGACCAUGCUGGAUCUGUAGGAGCAGAGCGGAGUCUGAGUCACCCAGCUAGAGAGAGACAGAGACAGAGAGAGAGAGAGAUGGGAUGUUGAAUGCUGUGGGGCCCAUCCGUCUGACUGUAGAGACAAUCUGUUGCAGCCGUACUGCACAUAAGAUUUUCCCAGUCACUUCUGGACCUUCAGGUCACUCAAGGGUUUGUUUCACCCUUAAGACCACCACAACCUCCUCCCAUUAAUCAUUAGAUUGUCAGUUACGGAGGCAAGCAGCAAGCCACGUCCAUUCUGCCAGCACUGAUUUAAAUCGCUUUAAUGGCCAUCCCAUGCGGUGGAACAGCUCCUCAGAGGAAACAGUGGUGGCAGAAGCGAUUGACCUACAGACCCCCGCUGUGACAGCUGUGCGUGAGAAAGGUCGACACCAUGAAGGGCAGCAGGCAUUUGAUUAAAGCUUCAUCCCUGUUUGUAGAAACAUGAAUAAUUCCAGGAAGAGUGCAAGAAGACUUGCACUGUGUUGAAAAAAAAAAGAAAAGAAGGAUCCCAGGGCCUGGACUCUUGGUCCAAGGGGGGAAAGCUGCACACAUAAAUCCCUGCCUGCCUUUCUCUCCAGCUUGCAGCACAAGGAUACACUUUCUCUCCACUGAGGAUCACAUUUAUCAAAGCAAUGUGUGGUCACUACAUUGAAACCACACGUGUAUACAAGCAUGGGUGGCCCCUGUGGGAAUUGAAACCUUAACCCUUUCUUUUUAUGUUGGUCUGCUGGCAGGAUUUAUCAGAACACAGGGGCACUCUGAAAUCUUUGGCUCAUGUGGAACCCGGGCUGGUGAAAGAAAAGAUUCAGAUUAGUCUUGAGUGGCUGAAUGAAGCAAAAACUGCAGGUCUUUAAAUGGCCACUUGUGGCUGGCUACAAAAAAAAUUGUUUCAAGAUGAUCCCUACCUAACCCCUUUGCCCUGUUUUUAAUGCCUUAACCUUAAUCAGUCACAACAAACCUUACCACAGGCAAAAUAUGAAACUUAACACCAGGUGAAAAGCAAACUGCUUAUGGUGUCGGGAGACUUGAACCUCAGACUCCUGAGUCAAAGUCAAUAGAUAACUGUAAC
rnacentral:lncRNA from 1 species